AGUGAACGCUGGCGGUAGGCCUAACACAUGCAAGUCGAACGGCAGCACAGUAAGAGCUUGCUCUUACGGGUGGCGAGUGGCGGACGGGUGAGGAAUACAUCGGAAUCUACUUUUUCGUGGGGGACAACGUAGGGAAACUUACGCUAAUACCGCAUACGACCUACGGGUGAAAGCAGGGGAUCUUCGGACCUUGCGCGAUUGAAUGAGCCGAUGUCGGAUUAGCUAGUUGGCGGGGUAAAGGCCCACCAAGGCGACGAUCCGUAGCUGGUCUGAGAGGAUGAUCAGCCACACUGGAACUGAGACACGGUCCAGACUCCUACGGGAGGCAGCAGUGGGGAAUAUUGGACAAUGGGCGCAAGCCUGAUCCAGCCAUACCGCGUGGGUGAAGAAGGCCUUCGGGUUGUAAAGACCUUUUGUUGGGAAAGAAAAGCAGCAGGUUAAUACCCCGCUGUUCUGACGGUACCCAAAGAAUAAGCACCGGCUAACUUCGUG
rnacentral:rRNA from 1 species